CAGAAAGUAGUUUAAAUAAAACCCUGCCUUUGGGAGGCAGAGAACCGUUCCUCCGGCUAUCUGA
rnacentral:tRNA from 1 species